UACAUGGGGUGCAAACGUUGCUCGGAAUUAUUGGGCGUAAAGCGCACGUAGGCGGUUCGUUAAGUCGGAUGUGAAAGCCCUCGGCUCAACUGAGGAAGUGCACCCGAAACUGCAGUGCUUGAGUACUUAAGAGGAUCGCGGAAUUCCCGGUGUAGAGGUGAAAAUUCGUAGAUAUCGGGAGGAACACCAGUGGCGAAGGCGGACGAUCUGGGAAGAUACUGACGCUGAGGUGCGAAAGCGUGGGGAGCAAAGCA
rnacentral:rRNA from 1 species